rnacentral:rRNA from 1 species
AGAGUUUGAUCCUGGCUCAGGACGAACGCUGGCGGCGUGCCUAANACAUGCAAGUCGAGCGAAUCUUGAGGUGCUUGCACCUCUUGGUUAGCGGCGGACGGGUGAGUAACACGUGGGCAACCUGCCUGUAAGACUGGGAUAACACCGGGAAACCGGUGCUAAUACCGGAUAAUCCUUUUCCUCUCNUGAGGAAAAGCUGAAAGUCGGUUUACGCUGACACUUACAGAUGGGCCCGCGGCGCAUUAGCUAGUUGGUGAGGUAACGGCUCACCAAGGCGACGAUGCGUAGCCGACCUGAGAGGGUGAUCGGCCACACUGGGACUGAGACACGGCCCAGACUCCUACGGGAGGCAGCAGUAGGGAAUCUUCCGCAAUGGACGAAAGUCUGACGGAGCAACGCCGCGUGAGCGAUGAAGGCCUUCGGGUCGNAAAGCUCUGUUGUUAGGGAAGAACAAGUACCGGAGUAACUGCCGGUACCUUGACGGUACCUAACCAGAAAGCCACGGCUAACUACGUGCCAGCAGCCGCGGUAAUACGUAGGUGGCAAGCGUUGUCCGGAAU